rnacentral:tRNA from 1 species
GGUUAGGUGAUGUAAUUGGGAAACAUCUUCGCGUAGUAGGCUGUUCGACUCAGUAACACUUCAGUAGAUAUACUAUAUAGUGGACGCAUGGUGCGUAUGCAGGUUCGAGUCCUGUCCUAGCCA